GGUUGAGAAAUGUUUAUUGUAAAAAUGGAGUUUAUAAUGAAAAUAAAAAAUUAUUUCAUAACAUUCUGAUACCACUACACCUGAGUUUGAUGCCAGCAUGGUUUGAAAGUGAAGCUGAUACAAGUUUUGUAAAGGAUGUUAAAAAACUAUAGUAUGAAGAAUGUAAUAAUGUUUUAGAAGACACUAAAACUUAAAUAUUUAGAUGCUGUAUAUGAGAAAUCACACCAAGCUCUCUUAAUUGGGUUAACAUUAGAUAACGACAUCUCAAUUUCCAAGCUUCCAAAAAUAGGUAAAAAAAAUUAUUUUAGUUUGAUAUUAAAAAGAAUAAUGCAUUGGGAGCAGGAAUCCAUUCUUUCAGGUUUUAAGAAUAAUGUUAUGACUAUUAGAUUAUCAUCAAUGACUAUAAAGUUAAUGUCAAAUAUCUUCUAUUUUAUUGGUGUUUUAACAUUCGAUUCAUUAGAUUAACAUGCUAGCUUUUCCUGUCUUUUCGUUCUUGCGUAAGUGAAUGAUUUAUUAGACCUGGUGCUCAAUUUACGGGCUUUUCUCAUUUCAACUUGAAGAAACUGCAAAUAUUUAUAGAAGAUGAAUCACAUGUAUUUGUUCCUGAAAAAUGUCAGAAUACAGCACUCAAAUUAAAUGCCGAACAGAAGCUAUUCCCUAACACUACAUACUGUGGCGAUUUAAUUUCCACUGACAUGUUUUCCUAAACAGUUUUUCCCACUAUGAUUAAUCCCCCAAUCAAAAAUUACUGAAAUCUUUCAUUAAGUGUGUAUUCACGUUACUAAGUUAUAGAAAUCUAAACAAUCAUAAAGAAUUUACAAAUCACACCUCUAACAACAUAGUUGAAUUGAUUCAGUUAAAUUACUCUUACAUCCUAAAAAAUACGUAGGUUAUGUUCAAACUGAUUUUCCUUGCUUUUAUUUUGCUUGCUUGCUACUUUAAGAAUGCUGUAACUCCACAGUAAGAUCCCAAGUCUAGAAAAUUAGAAUGCAGAGGAAAUGAACCAACAGAGCAUACACUCCACAAGGGCAGGGGCCAUGGUCAGUUUUACCUGUUAAUAUAUCCCUUCCAUCUAACAUAGUCACCCUCAAAUUUGUGUUGACUCCAAUUUAAGGUAUCACCAUGGGUAGGAGGGCAAAAGAGCAGAAACUCUUCAAGGCAAUUUGGCAAUACAGGUAAAAGGGCUGACAUUUUACAUACCCUUUGGCUCCAAGUCUACAUCAAAGAUUAUCCUAAAGAAAUAAUUAUGUAUGUGAGCAAGUGCUUGGAUUCUAGAAUGUUCUAGGUCCUGAGCUUUUUAAAGUAAAACCCAGCUAACAACCCAAUAUCCUGGAUAGGGUGCCUGGAGUGCCUCCCUCAUCAUGAAUACAUGCUGAGUGGCUGCCGCAUACCAACCAGAGUUCUGCACGCUUCACCCCAGCUCCCAACAAACGUCUUCAACACUCGCAGCUACCUUG
rnacentral:lncRNA from 1 species